rnacentral:rRNA from 1 species
UAGGGAAUCUUCGGCAAUGGGGGCAACCCUGACCGAGCAACGCCGCGUGAGUGAAGAAGGUUUUCGGAUCGUAAAGCUCUGUUGUAAGAGAAGAACGUGUGUGAGAGUGGAAAGUUCACACAGUGACGGUAACUUACCAGAAAGGGACGGCUAACUACGUGCCAGCAGCCGCGGUAAUACGUAGGUCCCGAGCGUUGUCCGGAUUUAUUGGGCGUAAAGCGAGCGCAGGCGGUUUAAUAAGUCUGAAGUUAAAGGCAGUGGCUUAACCAUUGUUCGCUUUGGAAACUGUUAAACUUGAGUGCAGAAGGGGAGAGUGGAAUUCCAUGUGUAGCGGUGAAAUGCGUAGGUAUAUGGAGGAACACCGGUGGCGAAAGCGGCUCUCUGGUCUGUAACUGACGCUGAGGCUCGAAAGCGUGGGGAGCAAACAGG